rnacentral:lncRNA from 1 species
CUGUUGUUACCACCAAAGGUAAAAAAUAGACCUCGGUGAAAUCCUAUAAGUCAGUCGAACUCUCGGGAAUCUCCUAAAAACUUAGUGAGAAAUGUCAAUUGCGAGCUCUAGCAGAUGUCCCCGAUCUUGAAUUCCCUUAUUUGCUGGUAAGGAAAGACCUAAAAGAAAGACCCGUGCCGUCUCAGCUUACUAUUGAUUGACUUGAGGUGGAAUGUUUGCAAAUCACCUGAACUUUUCGAAUUUCAUUUAAACUUUUAUCUCUGCUGUCGCAGAUCCCCUUUCAUCUGGAGCUGCCGUAACUUGGGCUCAUCAUGCUAUGGAUGCCAAGCUCCUUUUCAUUAAGAUUUUAGGACUCCUAGUUCUAACUUCAAUCUUGGAGAAAGGUAAGUGGGCUCUUAUGGAUGAAAUUUCGAAGGAUAAAUUAAAACUGGCCUUUGAUGGAAUAAAAAAAAGGAGAGACUGGUCGUAACCAAGCGAAAGAAGAUUCAUGGACAGAAGCUGCGGGUAAACCACACGUGCAAGUUUCCCUGCAUGUGGCUCGUCCGUGAUAACAUCUUCGGAUUAGCUUGGAGCUUUCUCUAUACCUUAAUUGAACUGCCCCGCUCUUAGCUCGGGUUCUUGCUUAAUGAUGCGUCCCUUGUUUGCUCUUGGAUUGGACUAAGUGGCAAUCCUUACUGUGGAAGCAGACCUUGUCAUUCUUCUCCUUCAAUGCUAGUGGAUAAGUACGCUAGGGCUGGAAUGCUCUUUAAUCAUGUAUGUGGAUUACUUGGUCGAUUACCUGAUUGCACUAGUCUCAUAGCCAUCUAUUUAAGGUAAUCACACUUUAUUGUGACGAUUUAUAGACAACCGGGGUAUCAGCGUACUUCACGGCUAACUGAAGCCAGUGCAGAUAAUUCCUUUUCCGAAUGAAAGGCGAUAGGGGGCGUACCCUAAGGAAGCAAGAAGGGAGGAUUUUCUUUACUUUACCGCUAGAACCUUCCUUUCACGAGUGAACCCGGGCAGCAGAUGUCCCCGAUCCUUGAAUUCCCUUAUUUGCUGGUAAGGAAAGACCUAAAAGAAAGACCUGUGCCGUCUCAGCUUACUAUUGAUUGACUUGAGGUGGAAUGUUUGCAAAUCACCUGAACUUUUCGAAUUUCAUUUAAACUUUUAUCUCUGCUGUCGC